rnacentral:rRNA from 1 species
GUAGGUGGCAAGCGUUGUCCGGAAUUAUUGGGCGUAAAGCGCGCGCAGGCGGUUCUUUAAGUCUGAUGUGAAAGCCCACGGCUCAACCGUGGAGGGUCAUUGGAAACUGGAGAACUUGAGUACAGAGGAGGAAAGCGGAAUUCCACGUGUAGCGGUGAAAUGCGUAGAGAUGUGGAGGAACACCAGUGGCGAAGGCGGCUUUCUGGUCUGUAACUGACGCUGAGGCGCGAAAGCGUGGGGAGCAAACAGGGAUUAGAUACCCUGGUAGUCCACGCCGUAAACGAUGAGUGCUAAGUGUUAGGGGGUUUCCCGCCCCUUAGUGCUGCAGCUAACGCAUUAAGCACUCCGCCUGGGGAGUACGGCCGCAAGGCUG